GCCCCCCAUGCAAAAGAGAAGUGGCUGGUAUUUGGGUGUUCUGCACCCAGGACCUGCCCAUCCCAUGGUGCAGUGGCCACUGGUCAGCUCCAUUGUGUGGGCUGAAAGGACAGACUGAGGCAGAAGCCUGAGAGUUCCUGAGAGACUGAGGAGUGUGGACCACAGGAGGCUUGUGCAGGAGCUGCCUCUGGACCCAGGGACUGUCCCAGGAGGCCAGAGCACAGCCAUCUGCAGAUGGCGGGAGGGCCCCUGAGAUGGACCCCGAGCUGGGCCAUGGAGCAGGAGCAUUUGUGGCUCAUGUGCGGUGUCUGGCUUUUGCUUUUUUGCAGGUUCUCUAGAUCCCCGAACCACCAGCCCAGUGGAAGAACAGCCACUCCCAGGCCUGUCCACCAGGCUGUGCAUAGGAAAACAAAGGCUGAAGCCAAGCCAAGCUACGGAUGGUCCCGUGUUGAACUUAUGGGUCCUUCCAGAAUUACGAUCGAUGUUCUAUGGCGGUGAACCUGCUCUGAGUUGUAUCACAGGCAGACCCUUCAAGAAGUCCACUAAGGCCACAAGCAGCAUCACAUACAGUCAAGAAUCUUUUUAUUGAAUUGAAAAAAACGAAGUCACCACAUAGGAGCAGGAUUGAACACAAGCAGUCCCACUGGAGAAUGCAAGAGCCCCAGCCCCACAGGAAAGAAGAGAAGUCGCUGAUGUUUUCACGUCCUGGGACCAAGGACCUUCCCAUGGCCUGCAGCAGGUGGGCAGCUGGGCAGCUCCACUGUGGGGGCUGAAAGGACAGUCUGAGGCAGCAGGGCACUGCCUGGGGAGUCCCUGAGGACAGCUCAGCCGAGGCUUCGUCCUGUAGAUGCCUUCAGAAGCUUGGCCAGUCCGAGGAGGCUGCAGCAAUGCCACCUGAAGAAGCUGGAGCCUCAGAGCUGGGACCACGGAACGGGAGACCUUGUGGCUUCAGUGGAGUGUCGGGCUGCCACUUGUCUGCUGUCCGCAGAGACACACAGGUCCAUGUUGGCCACGUUAGACCCUCCUGCAUUGCUCUACACAGAAAACCGCUGCCUACCGCGAGUCCAGCCAGGGGAAGCCACAGAAGGUCCAGCGCAGGAGGAUCCUGGCGUUCGUUUACUGGACCUUGCGCACCUCCUUCCGCACCUCCUUCCUCCAACGGCCGCACUAGAAACAUGCGGGAGAACGCAUGAUGGCAGUUUGUAAAAUUUCAUUCAGGAACAGAGAGAAAAUCUCACCCAUCUCCACGAGGACUGAGAUCCGGCGCUGUACAGCCGUUUGUUCUACCAGGGUCUCCAAGCGAGGCAUCUGCUCAGAGCCCUCAGGGCGCUGGGUCGGCAAAGGCAGAUGGCAGUGGUGGUCCCGGGUCUUGGCGGUCCUGCUGGCCACGUCCUCAGUCAGCAAUAUUGGUAGCGGCCACGGUGGCUCCCAGGGGCCAGCGGAGUCUUCAUUCCUCAGCAUCUUGGGAUCCAGAGGCCAAAAGAGGCUAUGGGGCGGGCAGCGGCUGUGCUAUCAGGCUUCUUGUGCGUCCUUCCAGCUAAGGUGGUCAGAAUCCUAGGCAUGAAGAGGGCAGUUCUGGAACAAAAGUCCACAGGGGAAGAAGGAGGGCCCUCACCUGGGGCCUCGCACUUCCUCCAGGCCAUUGGUGGAAGAGUGUCUUGGAGCUGGCUGUUUCCCAGUCUGGGGCUCCUUUCCUUUCCUGGUUCCUCCCAGAUGAAGUCCUCGGUUUUCAGCAACUUGCGGGGCCAGCCAGGACUCCAAGGGUCGCUCUGGGCAUCGGUCUGUCCUCCUCCGCGGGCGCUAACAUCUGCAGGCUGGGUCAGACACACUUUUUGAGGUGGCUGGGGGUCCACAGUGCUCUCAGCCAUCGGCUCCUGGACAUCUGGGUCUCGACAGCGUUUCUGCCCGCAUUGCACCUCGGCCGUGGCUCCCACACUGGCAGAAGCCUCGCGCCGCAGCCCGUGGACUCCAAAGUUCCCGUCUGCGCAGGACUGGGGGCGCUGGCACGAGUGGCUGCUCAGUGCUUCGAAGUUAUCCAGGGCCCAGGCCCAUGACUGUUCUGGGCUCAGCCCCGGAGGCAUGUGGGGCUCCAGAGGGGCCCUCGGCCAGCACAGCGCUUCCAGGGAGGAGGGGUGGAGCGCCAUUGCUGCUUCUCCCUUGCAGGCCAAGUGUGUGGCUUCUCUCUGCUCAGGGGAAGGUGCAAAUGAGACAGUCCUGUCCUGACUGAGCCUUUUAUAGUGGUCUGCCAGCGGGUGGGAUGCAAAUCCCUUCAGAGUGAGGAGAUUAGGCCAACAGCUGCAUCCCUGAGCUGCCUUGGGUGAGGUCAGAUGAGGAAAGGGAAGGAAGGGGGUGAGGUGGAGGAAAGAUGCAGUUAUUGGCCAUUGCUGGUCAGUGUGAAAGUCUCUCCUGGUGUCAUAUGGCCCACAUACACUCAUGACUGAUUCUUGUCCCUUCUGGAGGUUUCAGAGAUGAGCCUCAGUGAUGGCAGUGCAAGGUCACAGCCAGUUCUCCAUGGAGUUGUUUAGGACCUGGAUCUCAAGGAUGCUUAUGGGGUAGGGUCAUGAACAAAGGAGGAAUUCCACUGCACCAAGAAAAGAAGAGUCCCAAGAAGGGGGCAUCUGCUGUGUCGGGGUCGGCAGGCACCGGGCCUGGGUCUCUGUGUCCCUCUUGGGCUUCAAGGUGCUGUGCACCCUGGGAAAGUAACUGCUCCGUGAGGAUUUCCAGCUGAGAGUCUCAGGGACUGAAGAGCAGGUCUCUUUCCAGCUCUGGGCUGUCCCAUGAGAACUCGCUCAGGUCAAAAUAAAAUAGGAGCUUCCAAGGUCUGGCGUUGGUCAAUCAGGGUGCCUGUGGCUUCCAGGAUCCUGGGGACUGUCUUUUCCAUGAUUGGGAGCUGGGGUAUGGGGACUUCCAGGUCUCUACCAUGGGAGAGGCCAGCUCCAUCAGGGAGGUGUCACACCAAGGGGACCACAAGUGCCUGGAAUUUGGGAUUCAGAAACCUCCACCUUUUGCCUUUUUCUAUUGCCCUGCCCUCGUGGGUGGUCCUAAUGGGCUGAUUAUUGUGUGGGUGGGGGAGUGAAUCCUAGGAGCUCAUUACCUGAUCUGAUGUGAUUAGAAAUAAAAUGCCCUUAUCUGGGAGCAGGUUUCCUAGAAUGGCUUAGUUUGGGGACCAAGAGCAGGAGUCCUACUGGCCUGGA